rnacentral:lncRNA from 1 species
AUGGAGACUCCGAAAGUGGGCGGCCUCAGCGGCAGCUUCAGAGUGACCUUCUCUCGAUUUGCGGAGCUCGGCUUCCGUCUUCUUUAACUUCUUCGUCAGGUGAAGGGCCUCCUUUUUCAACCGCUGGAUCGUCGAUUUCAGCGGGACCCCCAAGGGCAGGGGGAGUGCUUCUGUAGGACACUGCCAUCGGAAGGUAAAGGCGUCAAGGAACGAUUCAUUGCAGGGAGAAAAGCAGAGAGAAGGAGGGAGGAGGAAAGAGAAGCCAUCCGCAGCGAAAAAUUCAACUUUAUUGAUUGAAUGAUUUUUAAAGACAAAUGAAAAGGAAAAAUUGCGACGAAAUAAAGGUACA